GUUAAUGAGGCGAACCGGGGGAACUGAAACAUCUAAGUACCCCGAGGAAAAGAAAUCAACCGAGAUUCCCCCAGUAGCGGCGAGCGAACGGGGAGCAGCCCAGAGCCUGAAUCAGUGUGUGUGUUAGUGGAAGCGUCUGGAAAGGCGCGCGAUACAGGGUGACAGCCCCGUACACAAAAAUGCACAUGCUGUGAGCUCGAUGAGUAGGGCGGGACACGUGGUAUCCUGUCUGAAUAUGGGGGGACCAUCCUCCAAGGCUAAAUACUCCUGACUGACCGAUAGUGAACCAGUACCGUGAGGGAAAGGCGAAAAGAACCCCGGCGAGGGGAGUGAAAAAGAACCUGAAACCGUGUACGUACAAGCAGUGGGAGCACGCUUAGGCGUGUGACUGCGUACCUUUUGUAUAAUGGGUCAGCGACUUAUAUUCUGUAGCAAGGUUAACCGAAUAGGGGAGCCGAAGGGAAACCGAGUCUUAACUGGGCGUUAAGUUGCAGGGUAUAGACCCGAAACCCGGUGAUCUAGCCAUGGGCAGGUUGAAGGUUGGGUAACACUAACUGGAGGACCGAACCGACUAAUGUUGAAAAAUUAGCGGAUGACUUGUGGCUGGGGGUGAAAGGCCAAUCAAACCGGGAGAUAGCUGGUUCUCCCCGAAAGCUAUUUAGGUAGCGCCUCGUGAAUUCAUCUCCGGGGGUAGAGCACUGUUUCGGCAAGGGGGUCAUCCCGACUUACCAACCCGAUGCAAACUGCGAAUACCGGAGAAUGUUAUCACGGGAGACACACGGCGGGUGCUAACGUCCGUCGUGAAGAGGGAAACAACCCAGACCGCCAGCUAAGGUCCCAAAGUCAUGGUUAAGUGGGAAACGAUGUGGGAAGGCCCAGACAGCCAGGAUGUUGGCUUAGAAGCAGCCAUCAUUUAAAGAAAGCGUAAUAGCUCACUGGUCGAGUCGGCCUGCGCGGAAGAUGUAACGGGGCUAAACCAUGCACCGAAGCUGCGGCAGCGACACUAUGUGUUGUUGGGUAGGGGAGCGUUCUGUAAGCCUGUGAAGGUGUGCUGUGAGGCAUGCUGGAGGUAUCAGAAGUGCGAAUGCUGACAUAAGUAACGAUAAAGCGGGUGAAAAGCCCGCUCGCCGGAAGACCAAGGGUUCCUGUCCAACGUUAAUCGGGGCAGGGUGAGUCGACCCCUAAGGCGAGGCCGAAAGGCGUAGUCGAUGGGAAACAGGUUAAUAUUCCUGUACUUGGUGUUACUGCGAAGGGGGGACGGAGAAGGCUAUGUUGGCCGGGCGACGGUUGUCCCGGUUUAAGCGUGUAGGCUGGUUUUCCAGGCAAAUCCGGAAAAUCAAGGCUGAGGCGUGAUGACGAGGCACUACGGUGCUGAAGCAACAAAUGCCCUGCUUCCAGGAAAAGCCUCUAAGCAUCAGGUAACAUCAAAUCGUACCCCAAACCGACACAGGUGGUCAGGUAGAGAAUACCAAGGCGCUUGAGAGAACUCGGGUGAAGGAACUAGGCAAAAUGGUGCCGUAACUUCGGGAGAAGGCACGCUGAUAUGUAGGUGAAGUCCCUUGCGGAUGGAGCUGAAAUCAGUCGAAGAUACCAGCUGGCUGCAACUGUUUAUUAAAAACACAGCACUGUGCAAACACGAAAGUGGACGUAUACGGUGUGACGCCUGCCCGGUGCCGGAAGGUUAAUUGAUGGGGUUAGCGGUAACGCGAAGCUCUUGAUCGAAGCCCCGGUAAACGGCGGCCGUAACUAUAACGGUCCUAAGGUAGCGAAAUUCCUUGUCGGGUAAGUUCCGACCUGCACGAAUGGCGUAAUGAUGGCCAGGCUGUCUCCACCCGAGACUCAGUGAAAUUGAACUCGCUGUGAAGAUGCAGUGUACCCGCGGCAAGACGGAAAGACCCCGUGAACCUUUACUAUAGCUUGACACUGAACAUUGAGCCUUGAUGUGUAGGAUAGGUGGGAGGCUUUGAAGUGUGGACGCCAGUCUGCAUGGAGCCGACCUUGAAAUACCACCCUUUAAUGUUUGAUGUUCUAACGUUGACCCGUAAUCCGGGUUGCGGACAGUGUCUGGUGGGUAGUUUGACUGGGGCGGUCUCCUCCUAAAGAGUAACGGAGGAGCACGAAGGUUGGCUAAUCCUGGUCGGACAUCAGGAGGUUAGUGCAAUGGCAUAAGCCAGCUUGACUGCGAGCGUGACGGCGCGAGCAGGUGCGAAAGCAGGUCAUAGUGAUCCGGUGGUUCUGAAUGGAAGGGCCAUCGCUCAACGGAUAAAAGGUACUCCGGGGAUAACAGGCUGAUACCGCCCAAGAGUUCAUAUCGACGGCGGUGUUUGGCACCUCGAUGUCGGCUCAUCACAUCCUGGGGCUGAAGUAGGUCCCAAGGGUAUGGCUGUUCGCCAUUUAAAGUGGUACGCGAGCUGGGUUUAGAACGUCGUGAGACAGUUCGGUCCCUAUCUGCCGUGGGCGCUGGAGAACUGAGGGGGGCUGCUCCUAGUACGAGAGGACCGGAGUGGACGCAUCACUGGUGUUCGGGUUGUCAUGCCAAUGGCACUGCCCGGUAGCUAAAUGCGGAAGAGAUAAGUGCUGAAAGCAUCUAAGCACGAAACUUGCCCCGAGAUGAGUUCUCCCUGAC
rnacentral:rRNA from 1 species